rnacentral:lncRNA from 1 species
GGAACCAUCGAUAAUUUCGUUUCAUUCAACACUUCCUGUUUCAAAUUUCGUUUUUGUAUUUCUCCGAGUAAUCUAAUAACGAUAUGAUUGAGUCGACAUAUUCUGCUGCUCUAUUAUGACAACAUCUACCGAGAAUAGAGAUUGAUAACGAGAAGGGCAUGAAAUAUUCGAGUAACGAGUAAAACGCCUUGUCAUUUAACGCAAAUUGCGGUAGUCACAAGUGAAUCGAAAACCGUGUUUUUUCUUUAUUUAUACGAUGACUUUGUGUCAGGAAAUUUGGACUGUGAAAUGAUAUCCAAAGCGCAAGAAUCGUAGAACAAAUUGGUACAAAAAACAUGACUGGAUUAAAGAAAUUGACACAAGCACGAAUUUGUUUGAUUUAUGACCGUAUAUUGAGAAAAAAAAGUCGACAAACACGCAUUUUAAUUCCCUUAUAUUUACCCAUGGCUGUUGUUUUUGUUGACAAACAGCAAACACCCUCUGUAACUGUCCCAAUACCCUCAAUUUAGUCAUUAAACAACAACUACUUUUUGGUUAAGUUCAUGUUUUACAUCACACAAAUAAUUACUUUCCACACUGAGUUUACAUUUUAUUUUGUACUCAUAAUACUUGUGUUGCAUACAAUUGUACCAAUACAUUUUAUUGAUUUUAUGUGGACUACAAACCAUUGCUUAGAAAGCAAAAUAAAUUUGGUGUAGGUCUAGUCCAACUGAAGAGAGCAUUUCUCUUCCCUUUGAUGUAUACUAUAAAUAGGUUUCUAAAGCGGCAAUUACAUGUAUAACAGUGGUUGCCAAUCAGGGAUUUUUAUUUAAGAGUUUAAAAAAUAGUGUCAGAUUCCUUAUACAACAUGUAUAUACAUUAUACAAGCUUGUUUUCCACUAGCAUAUACCCCGCGGUAUGAAGAACUUGUGACAAGGGUUUCAUAUGAAAUAAAAUUUAAAAAAAUAAAAUCCUCCCACCCGCCCCAUGUUUUUCAAAAAUUUGGAUGAAAAUCUACUAAU